GCACCGGGUCGGGUCGGGUCGGCCCCGCCGCCGGGGCACAAAGGGAGGCACGGCCGGGCCCGCAGGAAGGAGGCUGGAGCCCUCGUCAUGGGUCCGCUGCGGGGGGAGGAGGCGAAGGGGGCGGCCGAAACCUUUUGCUGCAAGUACCGGUUACCCACUGGAAAACCCCUGUGCUUUCUGGGGUUACAGCAGAACCACCUGUGAUGGUUCCCUCACUGCAGUGCCACGUCCGUGCCGACAGCAUUACGGAUCCCAAAGCACCAGAAUCUUCCCUUAGGACACCCAUUUCAGCCUGCUCCUUCACCAAAAACUGCAGGAUCACUCAUAGCUCUUGGCUUCUACGUCUUCACAAGCACGUCCAUUCUUACUAUCUGUUAAACAGAAAAAUUGGCACCUUAACC